rnacentral:rRNA from 1 species
GAUGAACGCUAGCGGCAGGCCUAACACAUGCAAGUCGAGGGGUAACUAGAGUGAUAGCAAUAUUACUUUGGCUAGACCGGCGCACGGGUGCGUAACACGUAUGCAACCUACCUUAUACUGGGGAAUCACUUCGAGAAAUCGGCGCUAAUACCCCAUAACAUUGCGAAGAGGCAUCUCUUUGCAAUUAAAGCUCCGGCGGUAUAAGAUGGGCAUACGUCCAAUUAGCUAGUUGGUGAGGUAACGUCUCACAAAGGCUACGCUUGGUAUGGGAUUUGAAAGGAUGAGCCCCCACACUGGUACUGAGACACGGACCAGAAUCCUACGGGAGGCAGCAGUGCGGAAUAUUGCUCAAUGGACGAAAGUCGGACGCAGCCAUGCCGCGUGCAGGAUGACGGCCCUAUGGGUUGUAAACUGCUUUUGUACGGGAAUAAACCCUUCUACGUGUAGGAGGCUGAAGGUACCGUAAGAAUAAGCACCGGCUAACUCUGUGCCAGCAGCCGCAGUAACAC